rnacentral:rRNA from 1 species
GCUUUAGGGCUAGCCUCGGAUUAUUCUGAUGGAGGUAAAGCACUGAAUGGGCUAGGGGCCUUACCAGGUUACCGAACCCUAUCAAACUAAGAAUGCCAUAUAGAAGAUGUCCGGGAGUCAGACUGCGAGAGAUAAGUCCCGUAGUCAAAAGGGAAACAGCCCAGACCGCCAGCUAAGGUCCCGAAGUGAUGGUUAAGUGGAAAAGGAUGUGGGUUUGCUAAGACAGCUAGGAUGUUGGCUUAGAAGCAGCCACUCAUUCAAAGAGUGCGUAAUAGCUCACUAGUCGAGUGAGCCUGCGCCGAAGAUGUACGGGGCUAAACCAUCCACCGAAGCUGCGGAAUGUCCGAAAGGACGUUGGUAGGGGAGCGUAGUGCAGUAGAGAGAAGCAUGACGGGAACGACAUGUGGACGAGGCAGUAGUGAGAAUGCCGGAAUGAGUAGCGAGAGUGAAGUGAGAAUCUUUACCGUCGAAAACCCAAGGUUUCCUGGGGAAGGUUCGUCCGCCCAGGGUAAGUCGGGGCCUAAGCCGAGGCCGAGAGGCGUAGGUGAUGGACAACAGGUAGACAUUCCUGUACCAAAGGUAUACGAAUAAGAGACGCGGGGACACAGGAGGAUAAAUGGAUCCGGCAGCAGGGAAAGCCGGAGUAAGGGAGGUAGAUAGGUACGUAGUGAAGUACGCGUACCGAUUCGAAGGCCUGACGCGGAGCUCAAAUAGGAGCGAAGCCAAAGAUUCCACACUGGCGAGAAAAGCCGCUAUUGAGUAUACAUUUGCCCGUACCGCAAACCGACACAGGUAGGUGAGGAGAGAAUCCUGAGACGAGCGGGAGAAGUGUUGUUAAGGAACUCGGCAAAUUAACCCCGUAAGUUAGCGAGAAGGGGAGCCUAGAGAUAGGCCGCAGAGAAAUGGCCCAAGCAACUGUUUACCAAAAACACAGGUCUCUGCUAAAUCGAAAGAUGAAGUAUAGGGGCUGACGCCUGCCCAGUGCUGGAAGGUUAAGGGGAGCUGUUAGCGCAAGCGAAGCGGUGAACUUAAGCCCCAGUGAACGGCGGCCGUAACUAUAACGGUCCUAAGGUAGCGAAAUUCCUUGUCAGGUAAAUUCUGACCCGCACGAAUGGCGUAAUGAUUUGGGAACUGUCUCAACAAGAGACCCGGCGAAAUUGUAGUAUACGUGAAGAUGCGUAUUAACCUGCGACUGGACGGAAAGACCCCGUAGAGCUUUACUGUAGCUUGGUAUUGAAUUUCGGCAAUGAAUGUACAGGAUAGGUGGGAGACUUGGAAGCCUCGGCGUCAGCUGAGGUGGAGUCACCCUUGGGAUACCACCCUUUUAUUGCUGGGGUUCUAACGGUGUGCCGUUAUCCGGGCACCGGACAUUGCCAGGUGGGCAGUUUGACUGGGGCGGUCGCCUCCCAAAAAGUAACGGAGGCGCCCAAAGGUUCCCUCAGAAUGGUUGGAAAUCAUUCGCAGAGUGCAAAGGCAGAAGGGAGCUUGACUGCGAGACAGACAUGUCGAGCAGAUACGAAAGUAGGGCUUAGUGAUCCGGCGGUAGAGUAUGGAAUUGCCGUCGCUUAACGGAUAAAAGUUACCUCGGGGAUAACAGGCUUAUCUCCCCCAAGAGUUCACAUCGACGGGGAGGUUUGGCACCUCGAUGUCGGCUCGUCACAUCCUGGGGCUGAAGUAGGUCCCAAGGGUUCGGCUGUUCGCCGAUUAAAGUGGCACGCGAGCUGGGUUCAGAACGUCGUGAGACAGUUCGGUCCCUAUCCAUCGUGGGCGUAGGAUAUUUGAAAGGAUCUGUCCCUAGUACGAGAGGACCGGGAUGGACGUACCAAUUGUGCAUCUGUUGUCGCGCCAGCGGCACGGCAGAGUAGCGAAGUACGGACGGGAUAAACGCUGAAAGCAUCUAAGCGUGAAACCCACCUUAAGAUAAGAUAUCCCUUUCUUUAUGAAGUAAGACCCCUUGCAGACCACAAGGUUGAUAGGUCAGAGGUGUAAGUGCAGUCAAUGCAUUUAGCUGACUGAUACUAAUAGGUCGAGGGCUUGAUCAC